AGUAGCAAUUACUUUGGUGGCGACCGGCGCACGGGUGAGUAACGCGUAUGCAACCCAUCUAUCAGAGGGGAAUAACCCGGCGAAAGUCGGACUAAUACCGCAUAAAACAGGGACACCGCAUGGUGAUAUUUGUUAAAGAAAUUCGCUGAUAGAUGGGCAUGCGUUCCAUUAGGUAGUUGGUGAGGUAACGGCUCACCAAGCCGACGAUGGAUAGGGGAACUGAGAGGUUGGUCCCCCACACUGGUACUGAGACACGGACCAGACUCCUACGGGAGGCAGCAGUGAGGAAUAUUGGUCAAUGGGCGAGAGCCUGAACCAGCCAAGUCGCGUGAAGGAAGAAGGAUCUAUGGUUCGUAAACUUCUUUUGCAGGGGAAUAAAGUGCAGGACGUGUCCUGUUUUGUAUGUACCCUGAGAAUAAGGAUCGGCUAACUCCGUGCCAGCAGCCGCGGUAAUACGGAGGAUCCGAGCGUUAUCCGGAUUUAUUGGGUUUAAAGGGUGCGUAGGUGGUUUGAUAAGUCAGCGGUGAAAGUUUGCAGCUUAACUGUAAAAAUGCCGUUGAAACUGUCGGACUUGAGUGUAAAUGAGGUAGGCGGAAUGCGUGGUGUAGCGGUGAAAUGCUUAGAUAUCACGAAGAACUCCGAUUG
rnacentral:rRNA from 1 species